AAGAACCAAAACAAAGAAAGUGGUCUCCAACCAACACCAACACCAACGCCAAGGCCUGCCCCCCCCCUCCCCCCCCCUUCUCUCUCUCUCUCUCUUUUUUUCAUUCUUNCCCCUCUCUCUCUCUCUCUCCUUUUUUCUAUUCUUACACCGAAUCAAUCUCACUCUCACUCUCUCUCUCUCUCUUUAUAAUCUUCCAUCUACACUCUUCACAACUUCAGGGCUCAAUCUCAAAAAUCAAGCUCUCUUCUUUAUCGCAUUGAGCCCGUUUUCUCUCCUCGCCUAUUUCCUUCCUCUCGCUC
rnacentral:lncRNA from 1 species